UCCAGGUUAAGACCUUUCCAGAGAAGAAAGCAGUGUUCUCACUGAGGCAGCACCUGUCAAGACUCCCUCCCCCAACAUCUGGGCUUUUCUUCCUGCUGUGCUCCGUAACUGAAUCACCCCUCUUCCUUAUCUUCAGUAGCUAUCUCCUCAUCCUUCAGGUCUUAACUCAGAUGUAUCCUUCCAGGAAAGCCUUCUCUGACUCCCCAGGUUGGUUGGAUAACCUCUUCUGGAUUGUCACAGAUAAGCCUCUAAUUGAUAACAAAUGUCCAAAAACCCAAGUCAAAGUAAUUUUCUUCCCUAGCAAAGCAAGAAAUAUCUUGGCCACCUGAUUAAAAAGUGUGUACUGGUUCAUCUUCAUUCAGGUGAGGUGUGAUCCAGCGGCUCAAACACUGGAAAGCAGUUAUUAUGGGCAAAGGCUCUGCAGUGUGACUGAUUGGAGUUGAAUCCUGACUCUACCACUCACAGGCUGGAUAAUCUUGGAAUGUGAAAUCCAUGAGGGUAGCAUUUUGUCCUCACAACAACAGAUGCACAAUAAAAAUUUGCUAAUUGAAAGAAGAAGUGAAGGAACAACUCGCAGCCCUGUCUGAUGCUCAUUCCAGCUUCAGGACAUUUCUUCUUGCUGUUCCCACUCUGUGGGAACUCUUGGAACAGCUGUCAUAUUUUGGCUUCCGUGUCUCAGCUUGAAGAACAUCGAUGAAUGGUCUUCUGUGGCACAACCAGCUAGGUGUCUGUUGACUGCCUGUCUGGGACUACAUUUCCCAGGGGCCCUUGCAUUCACUUGAGGCCAUGAGACUAGUUCUGUUCAAUGGUUUGAGAGCAGAAGUGAUGUAUGUCACUUUAGGGCCAAAGCUUUAUUUAAAAAAAAUUUUCCCCUGCUUUAUUGAGAUAUAAUUGAUAAAUAAUACUGUAAUAUAUUUAUAGUGUACAACAUGGUGAUCUGGUAUAUGUAUACAUUGUGAACUUAUUACCACCAUCAAGUUAAUGAACAGAUCCAUCACCUCACAUAGUUACCUUUGUUUGGUGAGAAUGCUUAAGAUCUAGUCUCAGCAAAUUUUAAGUACACAAUACAGUAUUGUUAACCACAGUCAGAUUAUACAUUAGAUCUCCAGACCUUAUUCAUCUUAUAACUGAAAGGUUAUAGGCUUUACCAGCCUGUCCCCAAUUCUGCCCUCCACCCCCCACCCCCAGUCCCUGGGAACCACCAUUCCACUCUCUGUUUCUAUGAGUUUG
rnacentral:lncRNA from 1 species